rnacentral:rRNA from 1 species
UACGUAGGGUGCAAGCGUUAAUCGGAAUUACUGGGCGUAAAGCGUGCGCAGGCGGUUUUGUAAGUCUGUCGUGAAAGCCCCGGGCUCAACCUGGGAAUUGCGAUGGAGACUGCAAGGCUUGAAUCUGGCAGAGGGGGGUAGAAUUCCACGUGUAGCAGUGAAAUGCGUAGAGAUGUGGAGGAACACCGAUGGCGAAGGCAGCCCCCUGGGUCAAGAUUGACGCUCAUGCGCGAAAGCGUGGGGAGCGAACAGGAUUGAGAUACC